ACCGGCUUCCGCCGCUUGCGACUGGCGUAGGUGAUGUUGGCGCUGCUGCUGUUCAUGGUGCCCAGCCGACGGCGGCGGCUACUCCCCGGGCACUGGCGGCCGGGUCCCCGGAACCCGGUGUAGGCUGGGACCACUGCGGCGGCCGGCGCCGGGUUCCGCGAAGCCGCGCCCGCUCCACCUGCGUCCUCUCGGGACAGUGGCGUGGGCGCCGCGCCUCAACGCCUCGGCUCACGCAGGCUUCCGCAGCCCGCGCCAGUACAGAUGGAGUCUCAGUCUGUCACUAAGGCUGGAGUGCAGUGGCGCGAUCUCGGCUCACUGCAACCUCCACCUCCCGGGUUCACGCGAUUCUCCAGCCUCAGCCUUCCACGUAGCUGGGACUACAGGUGCAUGCCACCACACCCAGUGUUGUGAACCACUUGUCAUGGGAUAACCAAAAUUAAACCUGGAAUCGCAGAAGAAACAAAUUUUUUGAAGAAAUUGGAUGUACUUUUUUAAAAUUUUUCAUUCAACUAAAACUUUGUUAACUGUUUCUUGGUUGUGGUCUUCUCUAAAUUGUAAUCUUUGGCAUUCACUUCCAAAGUAUCCACCACUAAACUUCAUAACAUUUAUUGUGUCUCUUCAUCAUUAAACUUUGAUGAAUUUACAGAGUGUCUUUUGAAAUUAUGUUCUUGAGAAAGCCAGGGGAUUGGACGGUGUCAUGGAAAUGUCAAAGAAAAAGUGACACCUGAGAGAAAAUUUGAAAGAUGAAAGCAGAUGCACUAAAGAGG
rnacentral:lncRNA from 1 species